UACAGAGGGUGCGAGCGUUGUCCGGAAUCACUGGGCGUAAAGGGCGCGUAGGUGGCGACCCAAGUCGAUGGUGAAAGCUCGCCGCUCAACGGCGAGUCGGCCACCGAUACUGGGUUGCUGGAGCACUGUAGAGGCAGAUGGAAUUCCGGGUGUAGCGGUGGAAUGCGUAGAGAGUCCGGAAGAACACCGGUGGCGAAGGCGGGUCUCUGGGCAACAACUGGACGCUGAGGAGCGAAAGCGUGGGGAGCGAACAGG
rnacentral:rRNA from 1 species